rnacentral:rRNA from 1 species
UACGUAGGCAGCGAGCGUUGUUCGGAGUUACUGGGCGUAAAGGGUGUGUAGGCGGUUGUUUAAGUUUGGUGUGAAAUCUCCCGGCUCAACUGGGAGGGUGCGCCGAAUACUGAAUGACUUGGAGUGCGGGAGAGGAAAGUGGAAUUCCUGGUGUAGCGGUGAAAUGCGUAGAUAUCAGGAAGAACACCCGUGGCGAAGGCGGCUCUCUGGGACGGUACUGACGCUGAGACGCGAAAGCGUGGGGAGCGAACAGG